CUAAGAAUAUUCCGCAAUGGGGGAAACCCUGACGGAGCGACGCCGCGUGGACGAGGAAGGCCGGAAGGUUGUAAAGUCCUUUUGAACCGGAAGAAUAAGCAGUGCAGGAAAUGGCAUUGUGGUGACGGUAGGGUUUGAAUAAGCAACGGCUAAUUACGUGCCAGCAGCCGCGGUAACACGUAAGUUGCGAGCGUUGUUCGGAAUUAUUGGGCGUAAAGGGCAUCUAGGCGGUAUCUCAAGCUUGGUGUGAAAUGCCGGGGCUUAACUCCGGAACUGCAUUGAGAACUAAGAUACUGGAGUCGCUGAAGUGCAGCCAGAAUUCCUGGUGUAGGGGUGAA
rnacentral:rRNA from 1 species